GAUGAACGCUGGCGGCGUGCUUAACACAUGCAAGUCGAACGGGAUCCAUCAGGCUUUGCUUGGUGGUGAGAGUGGCGAACGGGUGAGUAAUGCGUGACCGACCUGCCCCAUACACCGGAAUAGCUCCUGGAAACGGGUGGUAAUGCCGGAUGCUCCGACUCCUCGCAUGGGGUGUCGGGAAAGAUUUCAUCGGUAUGGGAUGGGGUCGCGUCCUAUCAGGUAGUCGGCGGGGUAACGGCCCACCGAGCCUACGACGGGUAGCCGGCCUGAGAGGGCGACCGGCCACAUUGGGACUGAGAUACGGCCCAGACUCCUACGGGAGGCAGCAGUGGGGAAUAUUGCACAGUGGGCGCAAGCCUGAUGCAGCGACGCCGCGUGCGGGAUGACGGCCUUCGGGUUGUAAACCGCUUUUGAUCGGGAGCAAGCCUUCGGGUGAGUGUACCUUUCGAAUAAGCACCGGCUAACUACGUGCCAGCAGCCGCGGUAAUACGUAGGGUGCAAGCGUUAUCCGGAAUUAUUGGGCGUAAAGGGCUCGUAGGCGGUUCGUCGCGUCCGGUGUGAAAGUCCAUCGCUUAACGGUGGAUCUGCGCCGGGUACGGGCGGGCUGGAGUGCGGUAGGGGAGACUGGAAUUCCCGGUGUAACGGUGGAAUGUGUAGAUAUCGGGAAGAACACCAAUGGCGAAGGCAGGUCUCUGGGCCGUUACUGACGCUGAGGAGCGAAAGCGUGGGGAGCGAACAGGAUUAGAUACCCUGGUAGUCCACGCCGUAAACGGUGGAUGCUGGAUGUGGGGCCCGUUCCACGGGUUCCGUGUCGGAGCUAACGCGUUAAGCAUCCCGCCUGGGGAGUACGGCCGCAAGGCUAAAACUCAAAGAAAUUGACGGGGGCCCGCACAAGCGGCGGAGCAUGCGGAUUAAUUCGAUGCAACGCGAAGAACCUUACCUGGGCUUGACAUGUCCCCGACAGCCGUAGAGAUAUGGCCUCCCUUCGGGGCGGGUUCACAGGUGGUGCAUGGUCGUCGUCAGCUCGUGUCGUGAGAUGUUGGGUUAAGUCCCGCAACGAGCGCAACCCUCGCCCUGUGUUGCCAGCACGUCAUGGUGGGAACUCACGGGGGACCGCCGGGGUCAACUCGGAGGAGGGUGGGGAUGACGUCAGAUCAUCGUGCCCCUUACGUCCAGGGCUUCACGCAUGCUACAAUGGCCGGUACAACGGGAUGCGACACGGCGACGUGGAGCGGAUCCCUGAAAACCGGUCUCAGUUCGGAUUGGAGUCUGCAACCCGACUCCAUGAAGGCGGAGUCGCUAGUAAUCGCGGAUCAGCAACGCCGCGGUGAAUGCGUUCCCGGGCCU
rnacentral:rRNA from 1 species